AACGAACGCUGGCGGCAGGCCUAACACAUGCAAGUCGAACGGGAUCUUCGGAUCUAGUGGCGGACGGGUGAGUAACGCGUGGGAACGUGCCCUUUGGCUCGGAAUAGCCCUGGGAAACUGGGAGUAAUACCGGAUGAGCCCUUCGGGGGAAAGAUUUAUCGCCAAAGGAUCGGCCCGCGUUGGAUUAGGUAGUUGGUGGGGUAAUGGCCUACCAAGCCGACGAUCCAUAGCUGGUUUGAGAGGAUGAUCAGCCACACUGGGACUGAGCCACGGCCCAGUCUCCUACGGGAGGCAGCAGUGGGGAAUCUUAGACAAUUGGGGAAACCCUGAUCUAGCCAUGCCGCGUGAGCGAUGAAGGCCUUGGGUUUGUAAAGCUCUUUCAGUGGGGAAGAUAAUGACGGUACCCACAGAAGAAGCCCCGGCUAACUCCGUGCCAGCCGCCGCCGUAAAAC
rnacentral:rRNA from 1 species